rnacentral:lncRNA from 1 species
AGGAAGAAAUGUCAUGUGUCUGGUGGGUGACACAGCUCCGUACAGCUUGCCUAGCAUGCAAAUGGCACUAGGUUUCUGCCCCAGCACUGAAAAGUAAAGCUGGUCUAGUACUAGUACACUCUGGCCACGUAGGAACUCCCGGGCUCUGCUGGUGGGAACAUCUCAAUUCCCAAGGAAACAUGCGUCCAUGGAACCCUCAGAUUUCACAGCAGGUGGAAGACCGUGCAGAAUGCUUAGCCUCCCGAAGGACCUUAGGGAAGAAACAGAAGCUGUGAGGAGGAGAGUAGGCGGGCCUUUUCCCUCUUCACUGACCUGUCCUACGCUGCCCCUGAACAGCGCUCCUGCUGCCUCAGCCUGCAGUGCUGAGAUCAGAGACGUGCACACUGCCCGUUGUGCUCUUCACACUCUCCGCUUUGAGUGCCCUUCUCAGUUUAGCCUCAGCUCCACGUGGCCUGUGUUGUUUGCAUGUUUCUUUGCUUUGAGACAGGGUCUCCUUCCAUAGCCCUGGCUGUCCUGGAACUCAGUAUGUAGACCAGGCUGACCUCAAACUCACAGAAAUCCUCCUGCUUCUUCCUCUGGAGUGCUGGCAUGCACCACCAUGUCUGGUCUGUACCCUGCUUUUAAAUCUGUCCUUUGAGGAUCUUAAGGCAGAUAGUAAAUAAUAUUGGGGUUAACAUCCUUACUG